UACGUAGGCAGCAAGCGUUGUUCGGAGUUACUGGGCGUAAAGGGUGCGUAGGCGGCUUUUUAAGUUUGGUGUGAAAUCUCCCGGCUCAACUGGGAGGGUGCGCCGAAUACUGAGAGGCUAGAGUGUGGGAGAGGAAGUGGAAUUCCUGGUGUAGCGGUGAAAUGCGUAGAUAUCAGGAGGAACACCGGUGGUGUAAACGGCUUCUGGACCAUAACUGACGCUGAGGCACGAAAGCGUGGGUAGCAAACAGG
rnacentral:rRNA from 1 species